GGGCGCGGGGCGGCGCGGAGCCUGCCCGGGGUGAGGACGGGGAGGGAGGUGGGGCCCGACCUGUCCGCGGAGGAGCACGGAGUUUGCCACCUGGGUUUCUGGGCUGACUGUUGGACCGUUGGUUGUUUGGCUGGGAAGUUCAAGCUCAUGUCACAUUUAUUUGUUGGAAAAGUAUGUAGGGGCGAUUCCUCGUCCUUCCCUAGAUGAGAGAUUCCUCGUCCUUCCCUAGAUGAGAGAUUCCUCGUCCUUCCCUAGAUGAGAGAUUCGUCCUCUGUAAGAGGAGGGAGUCUGACCUGUAUCUUCAAGGCUCCUUAGCUCUAAAGUUUGUGAUUCUAUCCUAGUUUACAAAAGAAAAAUAAAUGCUAUUGGCAUUAGAAAGCAGCAAGAAAGACGCCAAGUGUGGUUCAAGGACAUUGGCUCAGGCCUUGCUGGGCCUUGUUCCUCACAUUUCUCCAAUCCUGGGGGUGCCGGGGAGGCCUGAUACAUUUUGACAAAGGAUGAGCAAGGGGAAUGGGGACUCUGGGGCAGGGGCGGGAUCCUUGCCGUUAAGGGAAUAGUGUCCCCUCUUCUCCCACCGGAAAAGUUGUUCACAGCCUGGAACUUUGGGACUUUUGGGUCUGACACAUAAACAGGUCAUACUUAAGAUUAUGAAACUUUUUUUUUGGCGACAGAGUCACACUUUGUGGCCUAGGACGGAGUGCAGUGGCAUGAUCUUGGCUCACUGCAACCUCUACCUCCCAGGAGAAUCGCUUGAACCCUGGAGGUGGAGGUUGCAGUGAGCCGAGAUUGCACCAUUGCACUCCACUCCAGCCUGGGCAAAAAGAGCCAAACUUCAAAAAAAAAAAAAAGAAAAAGAAAAAGAAAUGUGGGCUUCCAUACUAUUGGAAAACUUCAGUGAGUCUUAGGGAAGUGUUGUGUACACAGACCACGUGAAUCAUGGGAGGAUUUUCAAUCUCCCACCCCAGAUUUUUAAUCCUGGAAGCUUCUGAGAUUCCCAUCCAGGACUGCUGAAGCAGAAUCACCAAGAGUGGGACCAACUUGCAUAGAGUAUUUAAUUUCCCCCUGGUGAUUUGGAUGCUAUAAUUAAAGGGUUUUAUCUGAGACCAUGAAGAAGAAGAGAUGUUUGGAGCUUAUUCAAAUCUGAAGCAUAAGAAAAGCCUUCCUAUUGCUGGAAAGACUAUGGGAAGCUGGACACCUUCCAAAAACCUGGGAGAACCGAAUUUUCACGAUGCAUGUCCAAAGAAAGGGUUUCAGGCCAGGUUGCAUGGCUUCCCUCCUCACUUGAAGGACUGGGUACACAGACAGAUCUCCAGUUCGAAUCUGCACUUCCUCUGAUCACCUGAAGAAUGGUUUAUUUCCCGCUUCUCUUUGUCACUGUUUUGCCAUGAUUGUUGCAACCGUGAAAGAAAAUAUGUGUCCUUGCUUUUUGCUCUCAUUGGCAUCCUAAAAUAAAUACAGCUCUAUUUA